rnacentral:rRNA from 1 species
UACGGAGGGGGCUAGCGUUGUUCGGAAUUACUGGGCGUAAAGCGUACGUAGGCGGCUUUGUAAGUUAGAGGUGAAAGCCCGGAGCUCAACUCCGGAAUUGCCUUUAAGACUGCAUCGCUUGAAUCAUGGAGAGGUUAGUGGAAUUCCGAGUAUAGAGGUGAAAUUCGUAGAUAUUCGGAAGAACACCAGUGGCGAAGGCGACUAACUGGACAUGUAUUGACGCUGAGGUACGAAAGCGUGGGGAGCAAACAGG